AACGAACGCUGGCGGCAGGCUCAACACAUGCAAGUCGAACGCGUGUAGCAAUACACGAGUGGCGCACGGGUGAGUAACGCGUGGAUAUCUGCCUUUUGGUUCGGAAUAACUCCGGGAAACUGGAGCUAAUACCGGAUGGUUCCUACGGGAUAAAGAUUUAUCGCCAAAAGAUGAGUCCGCGUACGAUUAGCUAGUUGGUGGGGUAAUGGCCCACCAAGGCGACGAUCGUUAGCUGGUCUGAGAGGACGAUCAGCCACACUGGGACUGAGACACGGCCCAGACUCCUACGGGAGGCAGCAGUGGGGAAUAUUGGACAAUGGGGGCAACCCUGAUCCAGCCAUGCCGCGUGAGUGAUGAAGGCCUUCGGGUUGUCAAGCUCUUUUGGCGGGGACGAUGAUGACGGUACCCGCAGAAUAAGCCCCGGCUAACUUCGUGCCAGCAGCCGCGGUAAGACGAAGGGGGCUAGCGUUGUUCGGAAUUACUGGGCGUAAAGCGAGUGUAGGUGGUUGUCAUAGUCAGGUGUGAAAGCCUUGAGCUCAACUCAAGAAAUGCACUUGAUACUGGGCGACUAGAGGACCGGAGAGGAUAGUGGAAUUCCCAAGUGUAGUGGUGAAAAUACGUAGAGAUUGGGAAGAACACCAGUGGCGAAGGCGGCUAUCUGGACGGUUUCUGACACUAAGACUCGAAAAGC
rnacentral:rRNA from 1 species